GAAGUGCGAUAAGCAAUGCGAAUUGCAGAACCGUGAGUCAUCAGAUUUUUGAAAGCAACUGGCGCCGGUUGGCUCUCCAACCGGCAUGCUUGUUUCAGUGUCUCUUUAUCUCAUCACCCAUAUCAUAAUGCGAGAGAUACCCUUCUCUUGCUAAGCUCGAAAGCACUCUGCGCUCUGCGAGCGGCUUCGACUUGUUCGAGGGUCGCACUCAAUGCAGCCGUCACAUUGCUCACAAUGUGAACUCAUUGAGAGCUGAGGCAGUGUAGCGUAAGCUACCAGUGCUUAGUCACACAAACUUUACUUGCAUCUGAAAUCAAGCAGGAUCACCCGCUGAACUUAAGC
rnacentral:misc_RNA from 1 species